rnacentral:tRNA from 1 species
GGACUCUUAGCUCAGUUUGGAUAGAGCGACAGCCUUCUAAGCUGUAGGUCGCGGGUUCAAAUCCCGUAGAGUCCG